UGUGUGUGUGUGUGUGUGUGUGUGUGUGUGUGUGUGUGUGUGUGUGUGUGUGUGUGUGUGUGUGUGUGUGUGUGUGUGUGUGUGUGUGUGUGUGAUUGGAUUGUUUUGUGUGCGUCUGUGGGUGCGCAAAUGAGAUUAAGUCAUUUAAUUGUAGGAUCCAACAGCCAGGCUCCUGAUUGGCCUUAGUUGAUAACACUGUGAAGUACUUCUAUUUUGGAGGGGGUUGUUUGUUUUUCUAUCUCACUUUUCAAUAACUUAGUCUGUAGCUUGUAUGAUUAAGCCUCAGUCAUCCAGAAUCUUUUGUAGGCUAAGCAAUAGGAAAUGCAACAUUAUGAACCAGCAUUAUGGAACCACUUCCCUGUCCUCAUCCAGUUUGGCCAGGAGUAAUGAAGACUCUCAGUCAAACACUAGCUAGUAAACACAUCUAGAAGGCUAGACAAACAGGGCUAUUUUAUAUGGGACCAAUUAUGACAUUCCUAUUGAUUGGUGAAGUUGUCUUCAAUUUGCAAUUUGAAAAAAAGUUUAAGCAAUAUAUAAAUUAUACUCUCAUUGAGUAAAAACCACUGUUUUCAUUUUAAAACAUGAAUUCCUAAAAUCAGUCCAGAACAGGCAUACUUUUACAGAUAAUUCUUGUUUAAAACAUGAAUUUGAAGAAAUUGGAAAGGCAUGCGUUUUCUUGUCUCUGUUCUGGGUUCCCCCUGGUUCUUCCCCCAUAAAUGUCCCUUAUCUGUGUUGGUUGUAGCUCUAGUAAAUCAGUGAAUGUAUAGUUCUCCUGUGUUGUGCAUGAUUUGAAUGAGCGGCCAUUUAUUUACUUUAUCACAGGACGUUAUUUCAGGAAGAGAGCCUGCUCAUCAUUUUCCUUCACCUGUGGCUUCUCAAUUCCAGUGUUGAUGUAGAAUAGACACAUGCUACUAAUAUACAAGAGAAGUGUCAACUCAAUGCAUGCGUCAGAUUUAUAAACGUGUCAAGAAGAAUCAUCAGGAAACAUGUUUACAUCAAUGGGAACAAAAUGCUGGUACAAAACUCUGCCUUGAUAUCCUUUAAAAGGUGUGAACAUGUGAAGGAAAAUAAGAUAUGCUUGUCUUUUUAAAACUAAGGUGCAGUAAAUACAAGCAUAUUUUUGUGUGCAAAUCAGUGAUUUCUGUGGGAUGGGAAAACAAUGCUUCUUCUGCUUUUAUGGCUUUUAUAUUAUUUCUUGCUCAUUGAAGCCAUGCUGACCUGCAUUUGGGUGUUUGCUGAAAUAUCAAAAACAAUCAGAAAGUGUCCAUGUGAUUGUUUCCUCCAUAAUUAUAGGGUGUACCCAGUUUUUUCUUUCUUUUCAGGAUUCCCUCUGUUGAAAACCUUCUAAACUGUAGUUUUUGGCAAGCCUGAGGUAUUUACAAUGUUGCUGAUGGAAUUUUCAGAUUUUCAGUCUCGUAAAGGUUUUCUUACAUUUUGAGAUUUCGUUGGUCCUCAUGUUGACGGACACUAAUAGCAGACCUAAUGAAAAGUUUAGGAUCAUGUCUAGACAUGGACAACUCUCUUAUGCUUGCACAUAUUAUGGCAGAACUAAACAGAAAAUGUGCUUACUGCCCUGUUUAAAUGAGUGAGGCCACUAUGUGUUCGUAUAAUUUUAUUUAUAUAUAUAACAUUGCCCAAUUAUAUUGUGUUGUAUAGAAAAUCAGAGCUCAUUGAGAUGGCUAAGAAAAUGAAUGGUCUGACGUUUUAAAGGUAAAUUAAAAGGGUUCAGCACCACUUUAGUUUUAAGUUUGAAUUACUCAGUGAAAAUGGGCAAUUCUUCCUUAUAGUAUUACCUUAAGUAAAUAUGUGCAGUAUAUUUUUCCUCAGUCAUUGGAUUUGAAAUGUUUUGAUGUGCAGUCGUAUUAAAGAUGAAGUCAGGAUUAAAUGUUUCUGUUUUAUUUGAACAACUCCCAGCUUUUUCACUCUUGAUGGUUACUGG
ensembl:lncRNA